UGGCCUGCGGCACAGUGUGCUUUAACUGUUGAAACCCUAGAGGAACCUGGCAGCUCAGAGGUGGAAGAUUGGUUAAAUGUUGAUUAAAGGUUAAAGUUUUGUCUAAGUGCCAGCAACCAGAGUCCCUGGGCCCUAUGUGGGCAGGAACUGGAGAGGCCAGCAGCCUGCAUGGGUAGGACUUUUUGGAAAAAGCUUCCAUCAAGAAUGCAAUGUUUCUUUGGAAGAUCCCCUGUGAAAUUACGAGGAAAAGAAAAUGAUUUAGAAAUGCGUCUUUAUGAGAGCUGAAGGAAGGAAUGACAUGGAAAUGUGCUCAAGUCUGUGAUAACAUCAUCUGAGACAGCAACUCUGAUUGCUUGUACACAUUUUCUUUAGGUUUUUGGACAGUAUCCAGCACUAAGUCUUGGCUUGCACAAGCAUCUCAGUAUGACUUUUCUCAUCAGAUUAAAAUGACUUAUUUCCUUGAAUUAUAUCAAUCCCUUUGUUGCUUACCAUUAAAGGCAGAAUCUGUUCACAACAUUGAGGGAUUUUCCUAUUCUUCAAUCAGUUUUGCACUAAUUCGUCACUUAAGCAGUUUGCAAUUUACACUGGGGCACGGAGCUGAGGCAGGGCUUUAAGGUCUCUUCCAGGCCAAAAUGUUCAGUGAUUUUAUGAUGAUGGUUCUGUGAUGUUGGCAUGCAUUAAUUAGUCUAAUAAAAGGAACUGCCACAAGA